GCGCGCGCCCUCCGUUCGAUCCGGUAACGUCGGUCUCGGAGGGCCGAGAUGGCGGGCCGGGCAAAGCCCGAGCCUUAAAAGCAUGGGGCUCCGCUUCCCGAGGGCUGCCCAGUACUCACCCACUCGAGAAGCCUUUCCGAAGGAAGCUCACGAUGUCCGAUUCGUGGAGUCACCCCAGCAAGGUGUCCAAUCUCUUUCGCUCCCCACUUUCCCUCGGGGGCCAAAGACAGCUCGGCUCCCGGGAACUGCUCGGCUCCGACACCCGCACUAACGUCCUGUUCAAGUUUGGGCUCUGGAAACGCCGCGGGGCUUGCGGCGAGCGCGCCACCUGCCGGUGACACAGUCCUCCAGGGGACCCCGCUCCGCCAGCCAACGCACGCCUCCAGACGCUCAGAAUUCCACCUCUGCAGAGUCACUCCUUGGUUUGGCAGCCCGCCUUGGGAAGGGUGACACACACUAUUGGGAGUUUUGCAGACCGGACCUUAAAAAUGGGCUCGGGGCACGUGUUGGGCUCGGGACCUUGAGAAAAUGGGAUGAAUGAGUCUCCACUUAGCAUGUAGAGAGAGCUCCAGAGACCGACGCGGAGGACAAGUUUACAAUGCAAGGUCUGACUCCCCACGAGCAGUGCAGGUUUUGGAAGAGAAGAAAAUGAUAGUCAUCUGUACCUUUUUUAAAAUUUAUUUAUUUAUUUAUUUAUUUAUUUGUUUAUUUAUUUAUACUGCGGGGAAUUGAACUGGUCCCUGCAGAUGCGAGGCAAUUCUUCACCCCUCGGUUACGUCCUCAGACCUUUAUCCAGUUUUGAGACAGGGUCUCACCGUUUUGAGAUCUGUUAAACUGGUAAAGAUAUGUUCUGAUUUCUGGUGUGGAGUCUGGAGACGACGCAGACCGAGAAAAUGGAAGGCAAAGACGGAAAACAAAUGCGCCUCUUGAUAAGCGUCUGAGGGAAAUGUAUUUGGCAUCUGCCACAUCUCUGCACCAUUCAGAUAACUUUUCUGUGUCAUUGGUCUUUCUAGCAAAGAACACCCAUUUGCCCAGCGACUUGUGAAAGCAAAGGUAAAGGUUUCCUGAGAUGAGUCCUCUCCUGGCUGGCUCUCGCUGCCCUGCAUCUCGAACUCCAGACCAUAGAAGGAAACAGGACCAAAACCCCUGACCCAGUCAGCCUUCAGAGUUUCUGUUUGCUAUGGGACAUCACCCCAUCGUUUCUAACAGUAUCUGGAGGAAGAGAGUUCACAGCCAAUUCCUGCUAAUAAAGUGCCUCUCUG